UGGGGUGUGGCUCAAUGGAAGAGUACUUGUCUAGCAAAUAUGCCCUGGGUUUGAUCCCCAGCACUGAAG
rnacentral:tRNA from 1 species